GAGAAUAUUAACAUCAAAAUCUCAAAGAAAAUUCAUGGGAGAUAAUUGUUCUUGUUUCUCUUCAAGGUGGUGGUGAACUUGAUCUUGGAAAGGGGUGAAUGAAGUGGAGUUCUUCCACUAUAAGAGUUGCGUGCUUGGAAGAAUAAACGUUGAACGACUAAGGCGACCGGAAGGUAGACAGGUAGAUGGAUCUGAUCCAUAGGAGCUUCAAUAGCGGAAUCUCAGGAGCGCUCCACUUACUUCGGAGUUGCAUUCUAUUGAUAUCGGUCUUCAUGGUCACUUGUAAUCUAUGUAGAGGCUCGUAGAC